CACCCAGACUCCUACGGGAGGCAGCAGUGGGGAAUAUUGCACAAUGGGGGAAACCCUGAUGCAGCGACGCCGCGUGAGCGAUGAAGUAUUUCGAUAUGUAAAGCUCUAUCAGCAGGGAAGAAAAUGACGGUACCUGACUAAGAAGCCCCGACUAACUACGUGCCAGCAGCCGCGGUAAUACGUAGGGGGCAAGCGUUAUCCGGAUUUACUGGGUGUAAAGGGAGCGUAGACGGCCAUUCAAGCCAGAUGUGAAAGCCCGGGGCUCAACUCCGGGACUGCAUUUGGAACUGUGGGGCUAGAGUGUCGGAGAGGCAGGCGGAAUUCCUAGUGUAGCGGUGAAAUGCGUAGAUAUUAGGAGGAACACCAGUGGCGAAGGCGGCCUGCUGGACGAUGACUGACGUUGAGGCUCGAAAGCGUGGGGAGCAAACAGGAUUAGAUACCCGUGUA
rnacentral:rRNA from 1 species